rnacentral:lncRNA from 1 species
GGCAUUUUCCUCAGCUUGGAGUUAAUGACAGCCAUUCAAACACAAACAGGUAGUCUCACAUGGUCUCUGCAGCAGACAUCAUGACCAUAGUGAUGAAGGAAACAUCUCUUCAUCAUUUUGUUGUCCCUGGUUUUGCAGAAAAGAGGGAAAAUGAGUAUUAUCCAGCGUUCAGAGGAGGCAAAGAAGAAAGAAGCACAUAAUUGGCAAAUUCCUGAGAAAGUGUCACUCAAAACAUGAUGGGAGUCUCCAAGGAAAAGUUGCUUUCCUUUCAAAGUAUUCCCAUUAAAAAGCUUUGAAAACUUGCCUCUGAAAACUUAUUUCAAGGCUGUGCCUUCUCUGAGAUCUAAUCAAGGCUGCACAUCUAAAACUAUAUAAAUUAACACUCUCAUUAGGGCCCUGAAUAGCUACAGGCUGUGUAUGAGACUCAGUAAAACAUCCCCAUUUAAAUGUAAAUUUUGACAUUCCACCCAAGAUGGAGAAAAAAAGUCUCCCCA